rnacentral:tRNA from 1 species
GCUUCUAUCGUCUAGAUGGUUAGGACGUAGGUCUCAUACGCAAGUGUGAGCUCGAACACGAGUAGAUCCUGCAACCAGAGUUCGAGUCUCUGUGGAGGCA